GAUGAGUCUGCGGCCUAUCAGGUUGUAGCGGGUGUAACGCACUUGUUAGCCUACAACGAGUACGGGCCGUGAGAGUGGUUGCCCGGAGAUGGACUCUGAGACAUGAGUCCAGGCCCUACGGGGCGCAGCAGGCGCGAAUCCUUCACAAUGUGCGCAAGCGCGACAAGGGAAUCCUAAGUGCCUAUGCUUUGCAUAGGCUGUUCUCCUGUCUAAAAAACAGGGGGAGUAAGGGCUGGGUAAAAAGGGUGCCCGCCCCCCCGGUAAUACCCGCAGCCCAAGUGGUGAUCCUUAUUAUUGGGUUUAAAAUGUCCCUAACUGGUCUAGUACAUUCCUGGGUAAAUCCAAUUGCUUAACAAUUCAAAUUCCGGGUAGACUGCUUUACUUGUGACCGGAAGAGGUCAAAAAUACUUCUGGGGUAUGGGUAAAAUCCUGUAAUCCCGGAAGGACUAUCACUGUCGAAAUUUCGUAAUCAAAUCUUCCUUAUUUAUCGUUGCUUCCACAACGCUGG
rnacentral:rRNA from 1 species